rnacentral:rRNA from 1 species
GAUGAACGCUGGCGGCGUGCUUAACACAUGCAAGUCGAACGAUGAAGCCCAGCUUGCUGGGUGUAUUAGUGGCGAACGGGUGAGUAACACAUGAGUAACCUGCCCUUAACUCUGGGAUAAGCCUGGGAAACUGGGUCUAAUACCGGAUAGGAGCGUCCACCGCAUGGUGGGUGUUGGAGAGAUUUAUCGGUUUUGGAUGGACUCGCGGCCUAUCAGCUUGUUGGUGAGGUAAUGGCUCACCAAGGCGACGACGGGUAGCCGGCCUGAGAGGGUGACCGGCCACACUGGGACUGAGACACGGCCCAGACUCCUACGGGAGGCAGCAGUGGGGAAUAUUGCACAAUGGGCGCAAGCCUGAUGCAGCGACGCCGCGUGCGGGAUGACGGCCUUCGGGUUGUAAACCUCUUUCAGUAGGGAAGAAGCGAAAGUGACGGUACCUGCAGAAGAAGCACCGGCUAACUACGUG